GUGGGGAAUAUUGGACAAUGGCGAAAGCCUGAUCCAGCCAUGCCGCGUGUGUGAAGAAGGUCUUCGGAUUGUAAAGCACUUUAAGUUGGGAGGAAGGGUAGUAACCUAAUACGUUGCUACUUUGACGUUACCGACAGAAUAAGCACCGGCUAACUUCGUGCCAGCAGCCGCGGUAAUACGAAGGGUGCAAGCGUUAAUCGGAAUUACUGGGCGGAAAGCGCGCGUAGGUGGUUCAGUAAGUUGGAAGUGAAAUCUCCGGGCUCAACCUGGGAACUGCUUUCAAAACUGCUGAGCUAGAGUACGGUAGAGGGUGGUGGAAUUUCCUGUGUAGCGGUGAAAUGCGUAGAUAUAGGAAGGAACACCAGUGACGAAGGCGACCACCUGGACUGAUACUGACACUGAGGUGCGAAAGCGUGGGGAGCAAACAGGAUUAGAUACCCCGGUAGUCC
rnacentral:rRNA from 1 species